UACGGGGGUGGCAAGCGUUGUUCGGAAUUACUGGGCGUAAAGGGCGCGUAGGCGGUCGGACCUGUCGCUGGUGAAAGCCGAGGGCUCAACCCUCGAAGGGCCAGCGAAACAGUUCGACUUGAGUUCCGGAGGGGAAGGCGGAAUUCCGGGUGUAGCGGUGAAAUGCGUAGAUAUCCGGAGGAACACCGGUGGCGAAGGCGGCCUUCUGGACGGUGACUGACGCUGAGGCGCGAAAGCCAGGGGAGCAAACGGG
rnacentral:rRNA from 1 species